CUGAGAUACGCGCGACUUAUUCUCGCGGGAAAUAGAUUAAAUUUAAAGUUGUACUGUAAAAAAGGAUGAAUGAAAAUUAUCAGUGGAUUUCAACGAUGAAAACUCUCUUUCUGAUGUCUUGACUGGAAGGAAGGAUGGAAGCAAACAACACUGACCUACCUCGACGGACUGCUAGCUGUCAUCCUACCAGCUGAUCAUCUGGCAUCGUUCGGCAGGGAAAUAAAGUUAUUUCCCUGUUGAGGUUUAGAUAUAAUUUGGAUUUACUUGUUUCCAUAUCAUUUAUGACGUGUCUAAUCUAGAGUCCAAUGGAAUCUAUUGACAUGACUGGCCUACCAGGACCAGAAUAAUUUUGAGGACACUGAUGUUGCUGAACAUCAAGGACAAGGUGAUGCAGAUCCAAGGACACACCGCCGCUUUAAUUUUUUUUUUUUCUGUUUCAGAUCCAGUCAACGAGAAUGAGGAUAUCCAUGGGUGCCAAGGAAUGCCGAGACCAGGAGAAGGAGGACCAGGACCAAGAAGAAGACCAAUUAUUUAUUUAAUUAAUUUAAUUAUUUAUUUAUUAUUUAUUUGUAUUUUUUAUAUUUAUUCAUUUAAUUUAAGCUGACUUGUAAUUAGUUUUAAAUAAUUAUUUUGUUAAGGUGUGAGUGUGAUGGAUGCUGUACGAGUGAUUUAUAAUUUAUGAAUUUAAUUUAUAUUUUUAUUUUAUAUGAAUGAGUACGAGUGGCAUGUUUUUAUUGCAUGGCUUGUGCUUGCUUGUUUUUUUUUUUAUUUUUUUCGGGUUUGAUCGCAUGGUUUGGAUUGUUUAUAUUUAAUUUAAUUUUAUUCCUUAUUUUUCCCUUCCCUUUUAUUUUUAAGUGUGUUUUUUUUAUUCGGGUUUUGAUCGCAUGGUUUGGUUUGCUUCUAUUUAAUUUUAUUUUCCCUUUUUUUUAUUCCCAUUCCCGCUUAAUUUUAAGUCUUUUUUAUUAUUAUUUAAUUUAAAUUUAAGAGUGUAAUCAGUGUGUGUGUGAUUUUGUUUAUUGCGACAUCCAGGCACGGAUACUAAUAGUAAGUUUUAAUUUUAUGAAAUUUUUAUUUAAUUUUAUAUUUAUAUAUAUUGAAUUGUAUAUUUUAUGUAUUUAUUUUAUAAUUGUUUAAUGUAUAAUAUUUUGUAUUUGUAUUUAGUUUUAUUUAGCUUUUUUUUGGUCACCAAUCGAGUGAUCACUGUGUUGGUCGGGUUUUUUCACUGAUAAAAACCUCCGAUUUAAACCGAUAGAUUCCGGGUCUAUCGGAUUUUUAUCGGAGUAUUUUAUCGGUGUCGAGGUUUCCCAAACGGGCUAUUUUCUUUCUUCCAAAAGAAAAUAGCCUAGACCAGUACAAUUGUAUUUCUAAACAAAUACAAUUGUAGGUGAAUGCGCACAGUAUAGGAAGUCGGU